rnacentral:lncRNA from 1 species
CGGCCUACGUACUCAGAAUAUUUGUGCGUUUGACAAAGUGGAUCAGAACUUUUAAUGCAUAUAUGCGGCAAAUAAAAUGGGAUCGGAAUCUUCCUGUGAAAAUUUGAUCACAUCAUCAUCCCCACGCAAUGUGAGAGGCCCUAUCCCACCCACCUGCAAGAAUUUCUACCCUUGAAGACAAUGAGGAACCAUCCAAAAGUUACAAUUAAUGCUUUUUGACGUAGUUGGAUUGGUGACAUGAUACUGGGUCCUGCCAUACUGGGUCGUGCCUGUCAAGUAACUAAACUGAAUAGAGUAACAUUCGUUUUGUGCCUGUCAAGUAACUAAACUGAAUAGAGUAACUCUCGCUUUUUAUAUUUUUGACGAAUAACACAAUGACACGCAAAAUAAUUUUUUUAUUUAUCAUUGUGUUGUGUUAUAAGCCGAG